GUGUGUCGGUUUUUUUUUUUUUUUUUUUUUUUUGUUAAGCCCUGAGCUAUGCGCAAAAAAGGACAUCUUCGCUGGCUGUGCACUCCAUUAUGCAUUUUAUGUGCGCCCUCAUUCAGUGUCUGUUGACAUUUUUAUUCCAAGUAGUUAAGCAAUAUUUCCACUAACGUGUGGCCGGAUCGGAGUCCAACAAUCUAUAAAGAAAUAGUUGGCUCUACGGACUUAAAAACGCUUCCUUCACCGUGUUACGAAUCUCAUCGGAAAUGGAGAGGACUCUCUGUCAGUGUGCGGCAAAAUCUAUUUUACCAAACGCACGCACUGCUGGCAGCAGGAGAAGAGCGAGGGCCAUCUAAGCGGACUGCCUGGCAUGCUUAUAGUAAAUACUAUAUGUGCAUUUAUGCUGUAGUUUUCCGAGCGACUGCACAUGGCAAUGCAGCCCAUGCUAAUGCUAAUGCCUCUGCCCCUGCCCCUGCAUUAGUCCCUGUCCCUGCCUCCUGUUUUGUGUGCGCAAUCAGCGCGCGCUGGCAGCAGCUGCUGCUGUUGCUGCUGUUGUACUGUUGUACUGUUGUUGCAACAAGGUGUAAACAUGACCAGCGCGUGUCCUAAGGAAGUGGCGCGCACUUGAUGUCUCAUUAUUACAAUGCUUCACACAGGUUAAUGAUGCGCGCUCUGUGCUUGCUUCCGUGUGUCACAAUUAUGCGAGGCAGCUGAGCUUGAAGCGCGGGUCGGCGUCGCGGGGUCGAUUCGUUGACCUCUGCAGCCAUGGCCAAAAAGCAACUAUAAAUGCCGGAUUGGGGCGAAGGCAAACAAUUCCAGGUCGGUUUUAUGUGCCAUCAUAAAUGUCAGUAGACGUUGGGCACAAUGUGCGGCAGCUAAUUUGAUUUUGAAACUCGGACCAAUUGUGACUAAUGAGUGGCGCACACGUUGCUAAAGCAAACACGGACCAGAUAAAUACUAUAAAACCAAUCCCAAGUGGAAGGAUGAAAGCCUGCCCCAAAGCCCAUAUACCCCACUUUGCCACCUCCCGAGAAGAGCAUUUAAAUUGGUUUUCCUUCUGGCCUUGUGGCUAGCAACAUGAUUUGAGAUAGACACUAAAGCAUUUACACCUGCAGCUGCCACGCCCCUGCGUUCACGUGCUCGACAUAAAGAAAGCAAAUAGAAGAAAACAAAAAUGCAUAAGCGAUUAUUUGUAGAGUGCGCGUGCUCGGCCGCAGGACAUCACUGAGCCACAAAAACCAGGCCAAAAAAUGGAUUUUAGGAAUCGUUAUCAGCACAUUUCGUGACUAUGGCUAAAAAUAUUGAAGCAGCACAACCAAUACUCUGUUCGUGUGUGGGUG